rnacentral:rRNA from 1 species
GGUCCGCCUCACCGCGAGUACUGGUCCGGCUGGACCUUUCCUUCUGGGGAACCUCAUGGCCUUCACUGGCUGUGGGGGGAACCAGGACUUUUACUGUGAAAAAAUUAGAGUGUUCAAAGCAGGCCUUUGCUCGGAUACAUUAGCAUGGAAUAAUAGAAUAGGACGUGCGGUUCUAUUUUGUUGGUUUCUAGGACCGCCGUAAUGAUUAAUAGGGAUAGUCGGGGGCGUCAGUAUUCAGCUGUCAGAGGUGAAAUUCUUGGAUUUGCUGAAGACUAACUACUGCGAAAGCAUUCGCCAAGGAUGUUUUCAUUAAUCAGGGAACGAAAGUUAGGGGAUCGAAGACGAUCAGAUACCGUCGUAGUCUUAACCAUAAACUAUGCCGACUAGGGAUCGGGCGGCGUUUCUUUUAUGACCCGCUCGGCACCUUACGAGAAAUCAAAGUUUUUGGGUUCUGGGGGGAGUAUGGUCGCAAGGCUGAAACUUAAAGAAAUUGACG